rnacentral:sRNA from 1 species
CGCGAUCUAGGCUCAAUGCAACCUCCGCCUCCCGGGUUCAAGCGAUUUUCCCGCCCCAGUCUCCCAAGUAACUGUGACUGCAGCUCUGGAUUAAUCGAAUUACAGCUGCUAGCCAGGAACAUGGACUGAAGUAUCCAGUGCUCAUUGGCAAUUUAGUUAAGUGCCAGGUGGAGCUCAACAGGAAAGUCCUAGCGGAUCUGGCCAUCUACGAACCAAAGACUUUUAAAUCUUUGGCUGCCUUGGCCAAUAGGAGGCGACACGAAGGAUUUGCUGCUGCCUUGGGGGAUGGGAAGGAACCUGAAGGCAUUUUUUCCAGAGUGGUGCAGUACCACUGAGAACUGUUGCUGUAUUGAUUAGGAAAAGACACAGAGUAAUUUGCAGUUUGUUUGAUUUGUACUUUUGUUUAUUUACAUCCCAAUAACAGACAUGAGGAUGGCCCGGUCUCUCUGGGACAGAGCCUCACAGAUGACGUCCAUGUUUUGUGUGAAUGAAACUCAAACACUC